rnacentral:rRNA from 1 species
UAGGGAAUCUUGCGCAAUGGGCGAAAGCCUGACGCAGCGACGCCGCGUGGGGGAUGAAGGUCUUCGGAUCGUAAACCCCUGUCUUUGGGGACGAAGCAUGACGGUACCCAAGGAGGAAGCCCCGGCUAACUACGUGCCAGCAGCCGCGGUAAAACGUAGGGGGCGAGCGUUGUCCGGAAUUACUGGGCGUAAAGGGUGCGUAGGCGGCCGCUUAAGUCCUGUGUGAAAGGCCCCGGCUUAACCGGGGAGGGUCAUGGGAAACUGGGCGGCUUGAGUGCCGGAGAGGGUGGUGGAAUUCCCGGUGUAGCGGUGAAAUGCGUAGAGAUCGGGAGGAACACCAGUGGCGAAGGCGGCCACCUGGACGGCAACUGACGCUGAGGCACGACAGCUGGGGGAGCAAACAGGAUUAGAUACCC